GUGUUGUGCAAUCUGUGAUACCGAAAUCAGAGCAGAGAGUGUCUUCUUGACGCGGUGGCUCACCAGCCAGAGCCCUAGGGCCAGUUGAAGGGGCUGCCCGCCAGCAGCGAGUCCCGGGUGAGCGUCUCGGUGGGCGUCUUGCCCACCAGGCGCAGGAAGUAGAGCUGCGCAAUGAGGGGCGCCUGGAGCGCGCUCAAGGCCAGGUGCGCUGGGGCUGGGACGGGUACUGGGCGCGCAAUACUCCAUGAGAGCCACCUGCGCUGCUCCUGCAGCCUCUCAGCGCCUGCGGAGGCCGAGAGAGCCAUGACUUUGAGGCACCGGACUCCACCGAGUCCCCCUGCAGGCGGCCCAGCUCAUCCACCUGCUCCUGGUCCAGGAAGGCCACGCGCGCUCGGCCGGCGAUGGCGCCCUGUGCAGGCAGGGGCAGCGCUAAGAGCAGCCGCGCCACCAGCGUUCUCACCUGGUCCAUGCCCAGUGCGCGCCGCCGCCGCCCGCACCUGCCGCGUCCGCAGCUGCACCGGGAACAAGCCUCUGUCCACCGCUGCGCCAGCGCCCAGCCAGGAGGGCUGCCAGAGGAGGCGGUCCAGGCUGCUGGCUGGCCGGGUCGCAGGCCAGCGACAUGAGAUCUUUGAGCGGGUCCUGAGGGUUGAGAUGCGGCGGGUAGCGGAUGGCCGUGUGCGGGAAGUAGGUGGACGCCAUCUGCUGCAGGAUGGACGUGGUGGGGAAGUGCAGGGCGGAGGACGGGUGCGGACUCCGGACGAUGCCUACGCGGCGGGGCGGUGAGCGCGGGGCUUGGGCCCAGCGCUCCGCCCUGGCCCCGGUCCCGCUCCGCGCCUGUGUGUGCGCUCUGCCCCAAGCCUCUGGCCCCGGCCCCGCGCCGGUGUGCGCGCUCUGCCCCAAGCCCCUGGCCCCGGCCCCGCGCCGGUGUGCGCGCUCUGCCCCUGGCCCCCGCCCAGCCCCGCGCUCACGGCUGUGCACGGCGAUCACGGGCUAGUGGUGCUGCGUGAAGCUGCACAGGCGCGGCGAGUCCUGGGGCGAGGGGCUGUUGAAUGGCGACUUGUCCAUCUCCGUCUUUUUCAUGGGCGACAAGAUGCCUGCGCGGGGCGGGGACGCCGCUGAGCCGCGAAGAGCCCCAGGCCCCCGCCCGCGUGAACGCAGCCUCGCACGUCUGCUGCUCACUCCCCAGCCGCCGGCUUCAGCUGGGAGCUCCGCUCCCUCGGGUCUCCCCAAGGGCGCGGCGACUACAGCCCGAAGCCGCCCCCGGCCCGCCCUGUGGGGCCCCAGGGUCUGUGCCCCAAGCCCGCCCUGCAUACUCCCUUCUGUCCUUGGCCGCCUCCCCCUCCCCAGGCAGGGGCCUGCCCGCCGCCCCCCACACCGCCCUCCGCUGGGAGGGGCGUCACUGGGACUUCUCCGGGGCCCAGGCCAGCUGGGCUAAGGGCUGAGCCACUCCCGGGGGUCUCAUGGCCCACCUGGUGCCACCGCCUGGGGGUCUGGGGUUCCCUGGGGGGGGGACCCUAGGGGAGAGGAAGCUGGGCUGGCCCUGCAGACUGCGCGUGUGCACCCGUGUGUGCAUCCGUGUGUGCGUGCGUGUACCUGUGUGCACCCGUGUGCAUCCUUGUGUGUAUCCGUGUGUUCACCCGUGUAUGCAUGUGCACCUGUGCGUGUGUGUGUACCCGUGUGCAUGCGUGUGUACCUGUGUGUGUGUGUGUGUGUGCAUGUAUGUGUGCGGACGCUUGCUCACAGGAUCUCCCAGCAGAGUUACCCCAAGUGGAAGCCACGCCAGGAACCCAAGGGGUCGGACUAGGGCUGGGGGAGCUGGGCAGGGCGGGGGGACGAGGAGGGCGGGGCGGGGUUGGGGGGGCGGCGCAGGCUGGAGCGAGCCUGUGGUCCUCAGAGUUGACUAAGGGGAGUGGCAGGAAAUGGCUCCUCUGAACCUUCCUGGAACUGCUGGGGUGCAAGGCUAGGGUCCUGGAGGCCUGGGUGGGACGGCCAAGGGGCCGGGACCAACGCCCCCUCCCUCGUGCGUUUCUCGCUCAAGCUUCCUGCGCCUUUAUUCCCAGUUCCCCCUUCCCCAUUGAACAGGACGCCGGCUAGAAUUCUCUCGGGAGGGCUUCGCCUGCAUCCCAGCUCUGCUCACCUGGGCCCUGCGCCCGCAUGGGGGACCUGGAUGGAGAUCCUGGCUCCUGGGUGCAGCCUGCCCCACCCCGGCCUUGUUGGCCAUCUGGGGAGUGACCCAGUGGGUAGAGGACCCCUCUCUCUCUCCCUCCCUCUCUUGUUAUCUCAUUAAAUAGAUAAAUAAACCUUAAAAAAAAAGGUUUAUAUUUGUCA
ensembl:lncRNA